CCUACGGGAGGCAGCAGUGGGGAAUUUUGGACAAUGGGCGAAAGCCUGAUCCAGCAAUGCCGCGUGUGUGAAGAAGGCCUUCGGGUUGUAAAGCACUUUUGUCCGGAAAGAAAUGGCUCUGGUUAAUACCUGGGGUCGAUGACGGUACCGGAAGAAUAAGGACCGGCUAACUACGUGCCAGCAGCCGCGGUAAUACGUAGGGUCCAAGCGUUAAUCGGAAUUACUGGGCGUAAAGCGUGCGCAGGCGGUUGUGCAAGACCGAUGUGAAAUCCCCGAGCUUAACUUGGGAAUUGCAUUGGUGACUGCACGGCUAGAGUGUGUCAGAGGGGGGUAGAAUUCCACGUGUAGCAGUGAAAUGCGUAGAGAUGUGGAGGAAUACCGAUGGCGAAGGCAGCCCCCUGGGAUAACACUGACGCUCAUGCACGAAAGCGUGGGGAGCAAACAGGAUUAGAUACCCUGGUAGUCCACGCCCUAAACGAUGUCAACUAGUUGUUGGGGAUUCAUUUCCUUAGUAACGUAGCUAACGCGUGAAGUUGACCGCCUGGGGAGUACGGUCGCAAGAUUAAAACUCAAAUGAAUUGACGGGG
rnacentral:rRNA from 1 species